UGGGGAAUCUUGGACAAUGGGGGAAACCCUGAUCCAGCGACGCCGCGUGACCGAUGAAGCCUUUCGGGGUGUAAAGGUCUUUCAGCGGGGACUAUCCUGAAGGUACCCGCAGAAGCAGCUGCGGCUAACUACGUGCCAGCAGCCGCGGUAAUACGUAGGCACCAAGCGUUGUUCGGAUUUACUGGGCGUAAAGGGUGUGUAGGCGGUUCUGUAAGUUCGGUGUGAAAUCUCCCGGCUCAACUGGGAGGGUGCGUCGAAUACUGCAAAGCUUGAGCAUGGGAGAGGGAAGCGGAAUUCCUGGUGUAGCGGUGAAAUGCGUAGAUAUCAGGAGGAACACCGGCGGUGUAGACGGCUUCCUGGACCAUUGCUGACGCUGAAACACGAAAGCGUGGGGAGCAAACAGGAUUAGAUACCCUGGUAGUCCACGCCCUAAACGAUGCAUACUUGGUGUAGGCGCUUCAGUGUGUCUGUGCCGUAGCUAACGCGUUAAGUAUGCCGCCUGGGGAGUACGGUCGCAAGGCUG
rnacentral:rRNA from 1 species